rnacentral:rRNA from 1 species
AUGCACGCUAGCUACAGGCUUAACACAUGCACGUCGAGGGGAAACGACAUCGAAAGCUUGCUUUUGAUGGGCGUCGACCGGCGCACGGGUGAGUAACGCGUAUCCAACCUGCCCAUCACUUGGGGAUAACCUUGCGAAAGUAAGACUAAUACCCAAUGAUAUCUCUAGAAGACAUCUGAAAGAGAUUAAAGAUUUAUCGGUGAUGGAUGGGGAUGCGUCUGAUUAGCUUGUUGGCGGGGUAACGGCCCACCAAGGCAACGAUCAGUAGGGGUUCUGAGAGGAAGGUCCCCCACAUUGGAACUGAGACACGGUCCAAACUCCUACGGGAGGCAGCAGUGAGGAAUAUUGGUCAAUGGGCGAGAGCCUGAACCAGCCAAGUAGCGUGCAGGAAGACGGCCCUAUGGGUUGUAAACUGCUUUUAUAAGGGAAUAAAGUGAGAGUCGUGACUCUUUUUGUAUGUACCUUAUGAAUAAGGACCGGCUAAUUCCGUG